UUACGAUAUGUCAUGCCUUAAACACGACGAAUGGUGUACAAUGAUUUUUUCUAACGUUAGGUAGGAAAGUACACCCUGACCCAUUGGCAUCCAUGUUCCAUGCCAUAUAUACAUACCACAUUAAUAAUUUUUUCUGCCACCAUAUUAUUUUGUUUUUCAUUCCCACCCAAAGACAUCAUAUUUGCCUGCCAUGUCAACCAAUCUAGAAACAAUACAGAGGACUGCUUGGACAUGCAAGAAACAUAUUUCAUUGGGUUCCUGUUACCUUGGCCCCAUACAUUUUUGUGAUUCUUGAUGCUCAGUAAUGUGACCAACCAUAGCAAUGGUGCCAGGGUCGCAGUUGCUGUGUUUGCAGUGCUUGGAUGUUCGCUAUCAUAGUUAUUUUAGUACCAAGGUAAGGGUAUAGAUGACCUGUUUUGCUAUUAUUUAUGUUUGGCCUUAAAAAUGACAAUUGAUGUGCAAUGUUCCUUUUUAACAUUAGGUACCAAUGUGUACCAUGACCAUGCUGCUGGUUAUGAUUGAAGCAAACCUCUGAGCAAGGCAUGGAGAGAUACAAACUUAAAAGGUAUUGCAUGAAUAUGUCAGCAGAACAAGAUUCAUAAAUGUGAUGCAUCCACUGACCAGGCAUGUGCUGGAAGACAAUCGGGAAUGAUCAUAAGUUGUCAGUCAGCCAAUGAAUGGCCCAUUGAGGUCAAUCAACAGUGCUAUCUUUUGUGACCUUCAGACUUCAUGCUUUCAUUAUUGUGUGAAUAUAGCCAUUUGAUUUGUAGGGUAAGAUGUUACUAUUUUACUGUUCAUUGGUAUUCCAUGGCUUAAGUCACCUUAUGUAGACAGCUUUACCAUGAAAGGAGCUUUACACCAAAAGGUAUUGUCUUUCAUUUGUUGUCACUACCAUAGACAACUAAGAUGUUGAGAUAUUGAAAUGUCUGAAGCCAAUACAGAUGUCCAUGCAUUUUUCUAUGCCUGCCACAGCUGUUUUUGAGUUUAAAUUUCAAAUGUGACACUGCACCUUUGUAGAUAUAAUUGUGGACAUUUUUGCUUUCUUGAAAAAGUGGACACAUCUGACCUACCAGUGUGACAAACACUGGUAGGUCAGAGGUGUCUGCUUUUAGUUAUAUGUGUCAUUCAAGUGGUGAUCUGUGGUAUCAUCUUUACCCAGCUCUUGGAUAAUGGCAAAUUGCCAUAAAUCAUGGGUGUUUUGCUGUAUAUGGGGUUAUGCUACAAAUCCUGCAGUGUUUGACAUGUUCAUAGUGCUACUAGGAGCCACUUUAUAAUUGCUGACCUCAAAUUUGACAAAUGGAAAGCACUUCUACUAGCUCCAGGUUAUUAUUUUUCAAUAAUUGAGUGAUGGUGUGAUCUAUAAAUGGAGAGUGCAGAUUGUGUUGUGUGUUGAAGUCACUUUGACCACUUGUUAUUUUCCCUGCCUGGGAUGGCUUUCAGCCAGUGGUGGCAGCUGUGUGUAAGGUCAGGUGAUGUCAAAGUGACAAACUAUACCAAAAAAUGUGGCUCAUUCACUGUCACAUGGCCAAUACUCACAAUAAAAUUAUGCAAUAGACCAGAAGCUUCAUAAAAGCUGGGGUCAGGAGUCACACUACAGACACAGAUGGGUUCAGAUGGGAAUCCUUCCAUUCAGAGGGCUCAGAUUGAAUAUGGAAAGUAGAAGAUUAAAAAGCACAAUGUGUGGUUUGUAUCCAGCUCAAUUUGAUUUCCAGUUUUACUUAAGAUAUUGUUGACUGAAGAUACAAGAUCAGAAUGCUACAUGUGCUUGUGUGGGUGAAGCAUGAGCUGCACUGUAUGUACAUAUGUGAUAUGCUGUUUUUAAUAACUAAAUCAAUCGUGAUGUGGCCUGUCUUUUACACAUAAAGUGCUUCAUUUAUGCUUUGUAUGUGUGUAUUAUCUUGUUUAGCUGUCUUGAUUACUGUUAAAACUGGCAACACAUCUGCCAAUAUAUAAGGAGCACCAGUGAUUGUAGCCUGCAGGCCUUUGACUUCCUGGAAUUUUAAUUUUUAUCUCCCACAUGGAAGAUAAGCUUUCUACCCAGUGACCCAUUUCAUCUAUCUUAAUAAAUACUGUUCUCAUUGCAGGCAAAUAGCAAGUUGAGGGCAAGGCAUAAUUUGUGGUGUCAAAUUUAGUUGCUGUGUUAAUCUGCUGUAGUCAAAUAGUGUGAGUUGUUGAUUUUUGUUACUGUUUACUGGCAGGUGGAGCUGCUCCCAUGACUACCAUCUAUUAAGUAAGGUGACAAAGUCAGGGUCACUAGUAGAAUAAGACCUGUAGUUAGAAUUAUCUUCAGGGAGGGAUGCUGGUGUAAUUUGUUAUCAACUUCUCAAAUUUGAGCAAGAUUCCCACAAAAAUGUAGCCUAAUGGUUUAAGUAUCUUGGUCUGGGGGAAUUGUUUCCGAAUUCAGCUAGGUGUGUAGGGUGCAAAGUUGAAGUAAAUUGUAAGUAAUUAUGAACCCACCUUUUGAAUUUGUGUGAUCUGUCUGAAGUGGGUGUCCAAGUUUUGUUUUUGCAUGCAUUAGCAUUAGGGCUUAUGUAUCCUUGUUCUGUUGCACAGUAUAUCUUUGAAUGACUUGGCUUGUUUUCAGGGUUUGAGGCACACCAUGGCUGUGAGCUUAUGACAUGGUUAGUCUGAAGCCAGUGUUCCGUUGUGAAGAAGACAUUGAGAACUGUUUGACAGCAAUAGCGGCUUGAGUGAUUGUCCUGAGACAUUUUGCAGGCAUGCAAUUUGCUUGCUGUGUUAUGAUAGGUGACAGCUCCUGAAAUUGUCAGAGCUUUGAUUUCCUGGUGUGCAGGAAAACAGUUUAGUUGUGCUGUGAGACAUUGGACUUGCUUGUUAUAUGCAUAGACUGGGCAGUGGACUCUGUAACCACCAAAUUUCAGGACCACUCAGCUGUAUCGCGGGACAUGGACUCCGUAAGUUUUCGUUACUCACGCCUUGGCUGAACUGGUGUCCGCGUAGUGCCCCUGAACUCGGCUGAUUUUCUUAGUGCCCGCCAGACGCGUAUCGUUCCGCGCACGCAGCUGAAGCCAGCGAUUUCAGUCGCGCGCAGUGAAGAGUCGUGUCCCAUGCCAUUUGGCGAGGAACGGCAACGUACCGGUGCGUGGUGAGGAUUGCGGGCACUGCUGCCGUCUCGCGUAGGACCUCGCCAACUGUUUGGGAAUCGACGCAGUGCAGCCUGAGAACUGCACAUUCAGUACGGGAGUGUCGCCGGCCCGCGCGACUCGGACACUGCUGGUGACUUCUGGACCGCUGCCGCGCGCCUCUGGCGCCACGUCCAGCCGGCCCUCCGACGAGACGCAUCCGUCCGACCACUACCAGCUCAUCUCGAUCACCACAGUAUGCGGGAGUCAGCUGUUCGCCGGUCGCGGUGGCAACGCCAGGCCACCGCCUUGGCUCGCCGGCGCGCCCUGGCGCAGCAAAGCCCUGAGCCCGCCCGUGCCGUGCCGACCGAGCACGCUUCAGGUCCGGCGGCGGCAGCCCUGGAUCGGGCCACCCACCAACCCACCACCAGCGUCACCAACAGGAUGUCUGAUAGCACAGACUCUCCCCAUUAUGGACCCUGUGUGCGACCGUCAGCAGGAGGGACAACGGGCACCAGACUCUCAAGAGCUCCUGAUCAUGAAAAUGAGCCGGUACAUUCGGACAGCGAUUCCUAUGCAUCUACGUCUUCCGAGCCGGAGAGGGCGACGCUGCCGGGGUGCGCACCGCUGCCGACGGACGACUCUGGUGCGGCGGCCGACUCGGAGUCGUCGGAGACCGAGCGGUCAUCGUGUCGCGCCUGGUUCUGCCGCCGGCCUGACUGCCGCCGCCUGAACCCACCGCGUUGUCUCUACUGCAGCUGCUGCCGCACGGGCCGCGUCCGGGCCGGGUCCGAUCCCGCGGAAGGGCGGUGCGACCCGCCCGCCGAGCCUCGGGAGGCGGCACGGCCAGCCGGCUCCUGCUGCCUAAUGUGCCGGCGCCGGCCGGUCGGUGCCGCCGCCAUCCUGCACGGUCGCUCCGCCUGUCAGAGCGCAUGCCAUCGGUGCGCGCGACGCCUCUGGAAGCUCGGAAGGCCCUGCCCGGGUUGUGGCCAACACAUUGAGAAGAUCGUCACCCUGUGGUACGCUUGAGCCAGGCUCCGCACACCGCCAGCGAAGCCGCUGUCGGCUUGUCCUGGUCCGGUUCUCCACGACGUCGUCCUGGUGGCCGCGUGAUGAUGCUCAUCUUGACCGAACUCGAACUGCCGUUCUGUCAGAACACUGGACAUCAGGGCCUUUUCACCAUGGCCCGUAAUGGUUUUUGCGCUCUUUGCAGCGCGGUGUCGAUUAUGAAGAGCUUGAACGGCUGGAGACGUCUAGCUGGACAUUUUUGGAGGAGUGGAGGUGAACACUGCAGCUGUUAAAUGUGAUAUGCUGCUGAUCUCGAAUGGCUCAGGGUGGAUAUCGUGGUGUGCUGUGCAGGCUGAUUUGUGACCAUCAUCACCUACUGCCGAGCACAUGGGAUGGACAUAUGGAGGUGCUGUCAAGACCCACUACUAAUCACCAUGGACCACUGGCGAGCUGAGCUAUCGACAAUGUAGGCCGCUGUCCAGCUGAAUUGCUGGCAAUCUGGCUGCUGUCUGGCUCAUGUGCUGGCAAUCAGGCUGCUGUUCAGCUCAGCUGCUGGCGUUCGGACUGCUGUCUAGCUCAGCUGCUAGCCUGGGAGUGCUGUCAAUCCCAUGGCCAGUCAUCCAGGACAGCUGUCCAACUGAAUGCUGAUCACCUGGAGCCUUUGUCCAGCUCCGUGGCUGGCCAGCCAGGACUGCCAUUUAGCCGAACACUGGGCCAUCACUGACUGCUGUUCUGUCAGGACUGGUGGCCAUCAUGGACUUAUAUCCAGCAAAACUGCUGGUCAUCAUGGACUGUUGGUGUUCUGGACUUGCUGCAUGUCAAGUCCAGAACUGUCCAAGUCUGCUGUCAAGCUGAACUUCCGAAGCUGCCAUCCAGCUCGACUGCUGGUCAUCUGGGACUGCUGUCCAGCUCAACUGCUGGGCAUCCAGAAGUGCUGACCAGCACAACUGCUGGUCAUCUGGGAUGUGUCCAGCUCAACUGCUGAUCAUCUCAAACUGCUGUCCAGCUCAACUGAGGUUGUCUGGGACUGCUGUCCAGCUUAACUGCUGGCCUGCCAGGGCUGCCACCCAGCUCAACUGCUGGCUGUCAGCUUAACUGCUGGUCAUCCGGGACUGCUGUCCAGCUUAGCUGCCGGCCAUCUUAAACUGCUGUCCAGCUCAAUGGCUGGUUGUUCGGGACUGCUGCCCAGCCUCAUGGCUGGCUAUUCGAGACUGCCGCCCAGUCCGUGGCUGGUCAUUCAUCAUGCUGGACUGCUUACUGGCACAGCCAUGAACAUCGGGAGAAUGGAAAGGCCAGGCCAGCUCAACAACAAUGGUAUGUACCUCGGUCACUACCAUGACCAAACUUGCCUCAAGCCUUUAGAUGUUCAGAUGAAUCAUUCUGUUUUGAGCUUUUUCAAUGUAAUUUUAAGAUUUUUGCUGUCAAUAUACUUGCCUUAUUGUGUUUCUCAUUGUGGAUGAUCUAUAUCAUGUAAAUAUUUGCCAGCCAUUGUUUUUUCUUAAGGUAUGCUUUUGCCACAUUUCAGGAGAAAGUGUGCCCUUGUGACCCCAUUGCAGCAUUUCCAAUGUUUUCAGGUUUAUCUUGUGUAUGUUCUGCUCACACUCACACAGGCACCUCACUGAGGACACCUCACUGAGGAU